rnacentral:rRNA from 1 species
UUUGGUUAAGUUAGAAAGGGCGCACGGUGGAUGCCUUGACACUAGGAGUCGAUGAAGGACGGGACUAACGCCGAUAUGCUUCGGGGAGCUGUAAGUAAGCUUUGAUCCGAAGAUUUCCGAAUGGGGAAACCCACCAUACGUAAUGGUAUGGUAUCCUUAUCUGAAUACAUAGGGUAAGGAAGACAGACCCAGGGAACUGAAACAUCUAAGUACCUGGAGGAAGAGAAAGCAAAUGCGAUUUCCUGAGUAGCGGCGAGCGAAACGGAACAUAGCCCAAACCAAGAGGCUUGCCUCUUGGGGUUGUAGGACAUUCUAUACGGAGUUACAAAGGAACGAGGUAGACGAAGCGACCUGGAAAGGUCCGUCGUAGAGGGUAACAACCCCGUAGUCGAAACUUCGUUCUCUCUUGAAUGUAUCCUGAGUACGGCGGAACACGUGAAAUUCCGUCGGAAUCUGGGAGGACCAUCUCCCAAGGCUAAAUACUCCCUAGUGAUCGAUAGUGAACCAGUACCGUGAGGGAAAGGUGAAAAGCACCCCGGAAGGGGAGUGAAAGAGAUCCUGAAACCGUGUGCCUACAAAUAGUCAGAGCCCGUUAACGGGUGAUGGCGUGCCUUUUGUAGAAUGAACCGGCGAGUUACGAUCCCGUGCGAGGUUAAGCUGAAGAGGCGGAGCCGCAGCGAAAGCGAGUCUGAAUAGGGCGUUUAGUACGUGGUCGUAGACCCGAAACCAGGUGAUCUACCCAUGUCCAGGGUGAAGUUCAGGUAACACUGAAUGGAGGCCCGAACCCACGCACGUUGAAAAGUGCGGGGAUGAGGUGUGGGUAGCGGAGAAAUUCCAAUCGAACCUGGAGAUAGCUGGUUCUCCCCGAAAUAGCUUUAGGGCUAGCCUUAAGUGUAAGAGUCUUGGAGGUAGAGCACUGAUUGGACUAGGGGUCCUCAUCGGAUUACCGAAUUCAGUCAAACUCCGAAUGCCAAUGACUUAUCCUUAGGAGUCAGACUGCGAGUGAUAAGAUCCGUAGUCAAAAGGGAAACAGCCCAGACCGCCAGCUAAGGUCCCAAAGUGUGUAUUAAGUGGAAAAGGAUGUGGAGUUGCUUAGACAACUAGGAUGUUGGCUUAGAAGCAGCCACCAUUUAAAGAGUGCGUAAUAGCUCACUAGUCGAGUGACUCUGCGCCGAAAAUGUACCGGGGCUAAAUACACCACCGAAGCUGCGGAUUGAUACCAAUGGUAUCAGUGGUAGGGGAGCGUUCUAAGGACAGUGAAGUCAGACCGGAAGGACUGGUGGAGUGCUUAGAAGUGAGAAUGCCGGUAUGAGUAGCGAAAGACGGGUGAGAAUCCCGUCCACCGAAUGCCUAAGGUUUCCUGAGGAAGGCUCGUCCGCUCAGGGUUAGUCAGGACCUAAGCCGAGGCCGACAGGCGUAGGCGAUGGACAACAGGUUGAUAUUCCUGUACCACCUCUUUAUCGUUUGAGCAAUGGAGGGACGCAGAAGGAUAGAAGAAGCGUGCGAUUGGUUGUGCACGUCCAAGCAGUUAGGCUGAUAAGUAGGCAAAUCCGCUUAUCGUAANNNNNNNNNNNNNNNNNNNNNNNNNNNNNNNNNNNNNNNNNNNNNNNNNNNNNNNNNNNNNNNNNNNNNNNNNNNNNNNNNNNNNNNNNNNNNNNNNGAAGGCUGAGCUGUGAUGGGGAAGCUCCUUAUGGAGCGAAGUCUUUGAUUCCCCGCUGCCAAGAAAAGCUUCUAGCGAGAUAAAAGGUGCCUGUACCGCAAACCGACACAGGUAGGCGAGGAGAGAAUCCUAAGGUGUGCGAGAGAACUCUGGUUAAGGAACUCGGCAAAAUGACCCCGUAACUUCGGGAGAAGGGGUGCUUUCUUAACGGAAAGCCGCAGUGAAUAGGCCCAAGCGACUGUUUAGCAAAAACACAGCUCUCUGCGAAGCCGUAAGGCGAAGUAUAGGGGGUGACACCUGCCCGGUGCUGGAAGGUUAAGGAGAGGGGUUAGCGUAAGCGAAGCUCUGAACUGAAGCCCCAGUAAACGGCGGCCGUAACUAUAACGGUCCUAAGGUAGCGAAAUUCCUUGUCGGGUAAGUUCCGACCCGCACGAAAGGUGUAACGAUUUGGGCACUGUCUCAACCAGAGACUCGGUGAAAUUAUAGUACCUGUGAAGAUGCAGGUUACCCGCGACAGGACGGAAAGACCCCGUGGAGCUUUACUGUAGCCUGAUAUUGAAUUUUGGUACAGUUUGUACAGGAUAGGCGGGAGCCUUUGAAACCGGAGCGCUAGCUUCGGUGGAGGCGCUGGUGGGAUACCGCCCUGACUGUAUUGAAAUUCUAACCUACGGGUCUUAUCGACCCGGGAGACAGUGUCAGGUGGGCAGUUUGACUGGGGCGGUCGCCUCCUAAAGUGUAACGGAGGCGCCCAAAGGUUCCCUCAGAAUGGUUGGAAAUCAUUCGUAGAGUGCAAAGGCAUAAGGGAGCUUGACUGCGAGACCUACAAGUCGAGCAGGGACGAAAGUCGGGCUUAGUGAUCCGGUGGUUCCGCAUGGAAGGGCCAUCGCUCAACGGAUAAAAGCUACCCCGGGGAUAACAGGCUUAUCUCCCCCAAGAGUCCACAUCGACGGGGAGGUUUGGCACCUCGAUGUCGGCUCAUCGCAUCCUGGGGCUGUAGUCGGUCCCAAGGGUUGGGCUGUUCGCCCAUUAAAGCGGUACGCGAGCUGGGUUCAGAACGUCGUGAGACAGUUCGGUCCCUAUCCGUCGUGGGCGUAGGAAAUUUGAGAGGAGCUGUCCUUAGUACGAGAGGACCGGGAUGGACGCACCGCUGGUGUACCAGUUGUUCUGCCAAGGGCAUAGCUGGGUAGCUAUGUGCGGAAGGGAUAAGUGCUGAAAGCAUCUAAGCAUGAAGCCCCCCUCAAGAUGAGAUUUCCCAUAGCGUAAGCUAGUAAGAUCCCUGAAAGAUGAUCAGGUUGAUAGGUUCGAGGUGGAAGCAUGGUGACAUGUGGAGCUGACGAAUACUAAUAGAUCGAGGACUUAACCAUAUAA